rnacentral:lncRNA from 1 species
GCAUUUAGGUUUCGGGCGGGCGGACGGGGGACGGCCCGAGUGAGGCGUCCUCCGAAGGCUGCGGGCCCGAAGCCAGAACUCCUUCCUCUCCGAAGACCUCGGGGGUGGGGCUCGCGCUUCCGCAGCGGGCCUAGAGCGAGAGGCAGGCGGCAGGUCAAGAGACUGCUCUCCUCCCCAAGCUAGGGGAACCUUCUGGGACUCCAUCAACUGACAAUGAGGGGAUAAUGGUCCCUCACUGCCCCAUCAGGAAAGGCUCAUGGGUGAUUGGGACCUUUGCUUGAAACCCAACUUACUGGCCAGGAACCUCAAGUUCUGGGACCAGGCGCCUUCCUCCCUCCCACUGUGCCAGAGGAGGGGAGACAAAAUCCCUCAAUGGCUGUCUAGCUCCAGGCAGAUCAGCUGCCACGGGGACUGCUGAGCAGGGAGAGGCUGUCGAUGCUGAGGCACGAGAGAAUUUGCUCCUGCUCCUCCAGAGAAAAUGGCUGGGACAGGCUGUUGAGGAAUAAUUCUGCAGGGAAAAGUGGAAGAUGGCUGUGAAAGACUGGGAGGAGGCUGGCUGUGUUUUCAGGGGUUCUUCCUGCACAGUCGGUAGAAGCUGAGCUGCUGGGGAAGGGGCUGGAAGAAAGCCCACACCGCAGGUAUCAGUAGCAAAUUCAAAAACUACAGAAUCAGCUCCAGAGGACUUUGUUAACAAGAAAGAGAAGAUUGAAAACAGCCCUGGGGCUACACCAACUCAAGAGCUCCCAGGCAAAGUGGCAUCCUGGACCCACCAUCUCUCCUACCCCAUCCUCAGUCGGUACUUCCCCAGGCACCGUUUGUUCUGGCAUGGGGCUAGUUCAGCCCUGGGACCACCCUCAUCCUUAUAACUACCAGCUGUCUUUGGUGAGGUGCAAGAUCUCUCUGGUUUUCUUUAUUUCAUUUUCAUUCCUAUAAUCACAGCCUUUUUUGUGCCCAUCCCUCAGGUGACAUUCUAUUAUGUUUGAUGUGUCAUUUUUGAUUUGGUUGUGUCCUUGCAAAAUGUGCGUUGUUUUAUUUAUCAAUUUAUUUUUAUUUUUAUUUUUUUAAAGAGAUGAGGUCUCAUCAUGUUGCCCAGGCUGGACUCCAACUCCUGGGCUCAAGCGAUCCUUCCACCUCAAUCUUCUGAGUGGCUGGGACUACAGAUGUGCGCCACCAUACCUGGCUAUUGAUCAAUUUUUAGUUUACCAAACAGGCAUUAUGUUCUGGGUCCCAUUCUGUGUCGGGUUCUCUUUUCACUCGGCA